CCUACGGGAGGUGCAGUGGGGAAUAUUGCACAAUGGGCGCAAGCCUGAUGCAGCCAUGCCGCGUGUGUGAAGAAGGCCUUCGGGUUGUAAAGCACUUUCAGCGGGGAGGAAGGCGGUGAGGUUAAUAACCUCAUCGAUUGACGUUACCCGCAGAAGAAGCACCGGCUAACUCCGUGCCAGCAGCCGCGGUAAUACGGAGGGUGCAAGCGUUAAUCGGAAUUACUGGGCGUAAAGCGCACGCAGGCGGUCUGUCAAGUCGGAUGUGAAAUCCCCGGGCUCAACCUGGGAACUGCAUUCGAAACUGGCAGGCUAGAGUCUUGUAGAGGGGGGUAGAAUUCCAGGUGUAGCGGUGAAAUGCGUAGAGAUCUGGAGGAAUACCGGUGGCGAAGGCGGCCCCCUGGACAAAGACUGACGCUCAGGUGCGAAAGCGUGGGGAGCAAACAGGAUUAGAUACCCCUAUAGUC
rnacentral:rRNA from 1 species